rnacentral:rRNA from 1 species
GACGAACCGUGCGAACGUUGUUCGGAUUCACUGGGCAUAAAGGGCGCGUAGGCGGAUGGUCAAGUCGGGGGUGAAAUCUUUCAGCUUAACUGGAAAAGUGCCUCCGAUACUGAUCGUCUCGAGGGAGGUAGGGGCAUGUGGAACUUCCGGUGGAGCGGUGAAAUGCGCAGAUAUCAGGAGGAACACCGGUGGCGAAGGCGGUUCUCUGGGCAUUACCUGACGCUGAGGAGCGAAAGUGUGGGGAGCGAACAGG